rnacentral:rRNA from 1 species
GAUGAACGCUGGCGGCGUGCUUAACACAUGCAAGUCGAACGGAAAGGCCCUGCGUUUGUGGGGUGCUUGAGUGGCGAACGGGUGUGUAACACGCGAGUAUCCUGCCCUUGACUUUGGGAGAUAUUCAGGAGACUGGGGCUCAUACCGGAUAGGAGCUCCUGCUGCAUGGUGGGGGUUGGAAAGUUUCGGCGGUUGGGGAUCGAAUCGCUGCUUAUCAGCUUGUUGGUGGGGUAGUGGAUUACCAAGGCUUUGACGGGUAGCCGGCCUGAGAGGGUGACCGGCCACAUUGGGACUGAGGUACGGACCAGAAGCGUACGUGACGCAGCAGUGGGGAGUCUUGCACAGUGGGGCGAAGCCUGAUGCAACAACGCCGCGUGCGGGAUGACCGCCUUCGGGGUGUAAACCGCUUUCGCCGGAGACGAAGCGUGAGUGACGGUAAUGGGUAAGGAAGCACCGGCUAACUACGUG